CGCUGGCGGCGUGCCUAAUACAUGCAAGUCGAACGGUCUUUCUAUGGAAGCUUGCUUCCACUGAGAAGAUAGUGGCGAACGGGUGAGUAACACGUGGGUAACCUGCCCAUAAGAGGGGGAUAACAUCCGGAAACGGGUGCUAAUACCGCAUAGUUUUCUUGAUCGCAUGAUCGGGAAAGGAAAGACGGCCUUUGUGCUGUCGCUUAUGGAUGGACCCGCGGCGUAUUAGUUAGUUGGUGAGGUAAUGGCUCACCAAGACGAUGAUACGUAGCCGACCUGAGAGGGUGAUCGGCCACAUUGGGACUGAGACACGGCCCAAACUCCUACGGGAGGCAGCAGUAGGGAAUCUUCCGCAAUGGACGAAAGUCUGACGGAGCAACGCCGCGUGAGUGAAGAAAGGUUUUCGGAUCGUAAAACUCUGUUGUCAGAGAAGAACAAGUUGGAGAGUAACUGCUCCAGCCUUGACGGUAUCUGACCAGAAAGCCACGGCUAACUACGUGCCAGCAGCCGC
rnacentral:rRNA from 1 species